GACGGAGGGUGCAAGCGUUGCUCGGAAUCACUGGGCGUAAAGGGUGCGUAGGCGGUUUUGUAAGUCUGUCGUGAAAGCCCCGGGCUCAACCUGGGAAUUGCGAUGGAGACUGCAAGGCUUGAAUCUGGCAGAGGGGGGUAGAAUUCCACGUGUAGCAGUGAAAUGCGUAGAGAUGUGGAGGAACACCGAUGGCGAAGGCAGCCCCCUGGGUCAAGAUUGACGCUCAUGCACGAAAGCGUGGGGAGCAAACAGG
rnacentral:rRNA from 1 species